rnacentral:rRNA from 1 species
AUUGAACGCUGGCGGCAGGCUUAACACAUGCAAGUCGAGCGGAGAUGAGGUGCUUGCACCUUAUCUUAGCGGCGGACGGGUGAGUAAUGCUUAGGAAUCUGCCUAUUAGUGGGGGACAACAUUCCGAAAGGAAUGCUAAUACCGCAUACGCCCUACGGGGGAAAGCAGGGGAUCUUCGGACCUUGCGCUAAUAGAUGAGCCUAAGUCGGAUUAGCUAGUUGGUGGGGUAAAGGCCUACCAAGGCGACGAUCUGUAGCGGGUCUGAGAGGAUGAUCCGCCACACUGGGACUGAGACACGGCCCAGACUCCAGCGGGAGGCAGCAGUGGGGGAUAUUGGACAAUGGGCGGAAGCCUGAUCCAGCCAUGCCGCGUGUGUGAAGAAGGCCUUUUGGUUGUAAAGCACUUUAAGCGAGGAGGAGGCUACCUGGAUUAAUACUCUAGGAUAGUGGACGUUACUCGCAGAAUAAGCACCGGCUAACUCUGUGCCAGCCGCCGCAGUAACAC